CCUACGGGGGGCAGCAGUCGAGAAUCAUUCACAAUGGGGGAAACCCUGAUGGUGCGACGCCGCGUGGGGGAAUGAAGGUCUUCGGAUUGUAAACCCCUGUCAUGUGGGAGCAAAUUAAAAAGAUAGUACCACAAGAGGAAGAGACGGCUAACUCUGUGCCAGCAGCCGCGGUAAUACAGCGGUCUCAAGCGUUGUUCGGAAUCACUGGGCGUAAAGCGUGCGUAGGCUGUUUCGUAAGUCGUGUGUGAAAGGCGCCGGCUCAACCCGAGGAGGGCACAUGAUACUGCGAGACUAGAGUAAUGGAGGGGGAACCGGAAUUCGCGGUGUAGCAGUGAAAUGCUUAGAUAUCGCGAGGAACACUCGUGGCGAAGGCGGGUUCCUGGACAUUAACUGACGCUGAGGCACGAAGGCCAGGGUAUCGAAAGGGAUUAGAUACCCGGGUAGUC
rnacentral:rRNA from 1 species